UGUCUCCUCCACCUCCUUCAUUGGUGGAUUGGGCCCGAGGUUCACGCCUCGGGCCUUUUUUC
rnacentral:ncRNA from 1 species